AAGUCGAGCGAACGGACGAGAAGCUUGCUUCUCUGAUGUUAGCGGCGGACGGGUGAGUAACACGUGGAUAACCUACCUAUAAGACUGGGAUAACUUCGGGAAACCGGAGCUAAUACCGGAUAAUAUUUUGAACCGCAUGGUUCGAAAGUAAAAGACGGUCUUGCUGUCACUUAUAGAUGGAUCCGCGCUGCAUUAGCUAGUUGGUAAGGUAACGGCUUACCAAGGCAACGAUGCAUAGCCGACCUGAGAGGGUGAUCGGCCACACUGGAACUGAGACACGGUCCAGACUCCUACGGGAGGCAGCAGUAGGGAAUCUUCCGCAAUGGGCGAAAGCCUGACGGAGCAACGCCGCGCGAGUGAUGAAGGUCUUCGGAUCGUAAAACUCUGUUAUUAGGGAAGAACAUAUGUGUAAGUAACUGUGCACAUCUUGACGGUACCUAAUCAGAAAGCCACGGCUAACUACGUGCCAGCAGCCGCGGUAAUACGUAGGUGGCAAGCGUUAUCCGGAAUUAUUGGGCGUAAAGCGCGCGUAGGCGGUUUUUUAAGUCUGAUGUGAAAGCCCACGGCUCAACCGUGGAGGGUCAUUGGAAACUGGAAUACUUGAGUGCAGAAGAGGAAAGUGGAAUUCCAUGUGUAGCGGUGAAAUGCGCAGAGAUAUGGAGGUACACCAGUGGCGAAGGCGACUUUCUGGUC
rnacentral:rRNA from 1 species